ensembl:lincRNA Gm38509 uncharacterized LOC110290644
AGAAGUUCAGUGCAGAACCAGAUUUCAUCACCAGGAAACAGUGAAAGCUAAUUGUUUCACUACAAAAUGUUACCUUCUACAAUGGAUUACUAUGCAACUGUAAAUAAAAACAGAGGCUAUGUGUACGACCCAUGUACUGCAGUCCCUGUGGAGGCCAGAAGAGGACCUCAGAGGCAGGCAGAUCUCCGGGUUCCAGGCCAACCAGAGCUGCUAUAAGGUGGCUGCGAAUCUAAUCAAGUCGACAGUGAGGAAGAAGCACUAGCCACCACCGUGAAUACCAGUCAGCCAGUGGGUCACAGGUGUGAGUCACUGAGCAGGAAAAGGAUGUGUGUGAAGCUGUGCAAAGACGGGGCUGGAGCGGUGGAUUGCUGGUUAAGAGCACUGGUGUUCUUGCAGAGGCCCUGAGCAUUUCCAGUGUCUACAUCACGUGGCUCCCAGCUGCCUAUACCUACAGAUCUAGAGGACCAGAACAAGACUGGCUCUAAUAUUGAAUUGAAUUUAGAAGAUUACCCCUCAUAUUGUCAAACCAAGUAGUCAGACACAAGUAACAAAAGAUACCUGUGGUUUUAUGUUCAUUUUGAAACGGGUUCCCAAGUAGUCUAGACUAGCCUUGAACUCACUGUGUGGCUGAGAAUGGCUUUGAAUUUCUGGUUUUCCUGCCUCUUUCUCCCAAGUGCUGCGAUCACAGACAUGUAGCGGCACACCCCAUUUAUGGAGUGCUGGAGAUUAGAUCCAGGGCCUUGUGCAUGCUAGGUAAGCACUCUACCAAGUGAGCCAUGUCCCCAGCCCAAGACAUCUGGUUUGAACCAGAUCUUUUCAUUAGGUUAAGCAGGAAGGCAGCUUGCAACACAUGCAUGGGAAGUGUGCCAUCUUGGUUUAAUGAAUGGGUUUCUGCGGAUUGUUGAAACACUUCAACUUCCUUAACCCAGUAUCUGAUGAAGGAGCAAGGAUAGAGAAAUUAAUUUACCACACACUAAUUAAAGGGGGGUGCGCACUGUAUACACAGUGAAAGUCUCUGGAAUAAAUAUUUGAUAAACAGUAUCUGGCAAAUUAAAAACCCGAAAUGUUAAAUUAAAUGCAAAUUAAAAAUCUGGAAUGUUAAAUUAAUUAAAUACAGAAAAUUGCAUCAAACAGCA